rnacentral:rRNA from 1 species
CACACCCGAUCUCUGCCCGGUUCACCCAGGUAGGGUCUCCCCAGCGGGGCGACACCACCAUCCAACCGCCUCGAUUCGGUACCGUCACGGUCGUG